rnacentral:snRNA from 1 species
GUGCUGCCUUCAGCAGCACAUAUACUAAAAUUGGAGUGAUACAGAGAAGAUUAGCAUGGCCCCUGCACAAGGAUGAUGUGCAAAUUGGUGAAGCAUUCCAUAUUUAA